GCAUGGGUGUUACCAUGGGCUGCAGUCCAGCACUGAAUGAAGUGGACAAAGCAAGCUGAGCACUGUGGCCCGUCACCCCUCCUUCCUGACGGCAGACGCACACUCGUCAGCCAUCUGGUUCCGGCCGCCAGGCCUUGCCCACUUUCUUUACUACGUUGCUUUUGUUGGGUGCCAUCACAAAAGUAACUAACGUACUCCCAAAACCCAGAAAUGUGACAAGAUAACCAUAAUCAGAUAUAUUUGUAAAAAGGACUUCAUAUAAAAGUUAAGAAUGUACUAAUAGAGGCCCGAGAGGUGGCGCAGUGGCUAAGAGCACUGGCUGCUCUUUCGGAGGACCUGAACUGGAUUCCCAGCUCCCAACUGUGUAAGUCCAAUCCCAGGGGAUCCGACACUCCCCUUCGGCCUCCACAAGCACUCAUACACAUGCGGGCAAAAUACCCACAAACAUGAAAUAAUAGUAAAGUUGUUGUUGUUGUUGUUGUUGUUGUUAUUAUUAUUAUUAUUUAGCUUACUAUACUUAACAGUGAAUUUUAUAGAAAAAAGCAGAGAGACGUCACUGUAGAACCGAUAGAGUUACAAAAGUUGAAGCUGACAACUGGCAAGGUCACUCACUAAUACGUGACCAGAAGAAUCAUUCAGAGUUACCUUGCGGAUUGGCUGGGAUGCUUCCCUCAUCAAACUCAAAGGACCCAACGAUUCAUUUCUUCCAGUCCUAACAAUGACUUUUUCUCCUCCUCUCUUUGCAUUUCCCGAGGUCAAGGAUCAACUUGCUUUCAAAGUAAACUGAAACACUGCGGAUCCUAAAACCCUGGCCUCUCCUCGGAGAUGGGCACAUAGUCCUCGCUGGUUCAUUCGUCUCUCUCUAGGCUUUGUGUGUUUUUAUAGGCAGGGUUUCUCUGUGUAUCUCCGGCUGUCCAGGAAUUCGCUCUGCAGAUCUGGCAGGCCCCAAAUUCACAGAGAUCCCCCUGCCUCUGGGAUUAAAGAUGUGCAUCUGCAUCGUCACCGCUGUCAAAUCCUUGUUUCUAACCACAGUGAUAAAACUCUGCAGUUCAGGGACCCUGAGGUUAUACGGAGCCUUUCCUUCCUGUGGCCUGUAGUUAAAGCUCCCUUCCCACCUUGUGAGCCUUAGUUACCUCCCAGGGUAUUUGCUUAGAUACAGACUGCUUAUUAUCAGUCCAUGGUCCAUCAUUCAUCAUCACCACAUUAAAACCAGAUGUCCUCACCUUACAGAGCAGGUGUCCCCCACUGUCCUUAUAGAAGUGCCCCCACUGUCCUUAUAGAGGAGGUGUCCCUCACUGUCCUUUUUUUUCUUUUUCUUUUUUUUUCUUUUUUUCUAGAGCUGGGGUUCGAACCCAGGGCCUUGCGCUUGGUAGGCAAGCGCUCUACCACUGAGCUAAAUCCCCAAUCCCCCUCACUGUCCUUAUAGAGGAGGUGUCCCUCACUGUCCUUAUAGAGGAGGUGCCCCUCACUGUCCUUAUAGAGGUGUCCCCCACUGUCCUUACAGAGCAGGUGUCCCCCACUGUCCUUACAGAGCAGGUGUCCCCCACUGUCCUUAUAGAGGUGCCCCCCACUGUCCUUAUAGAGGAGGUGUCCCUCAGUGUCCUUUUUUUCUUUUUUCCUUUUUCUUUUUUUCUAGAGCUGGGGUUCGAACCCAGGGCCUUGCGCUUGGUAGGCAAGCGCUCUACCACUGAGCUAAAUCCCCAACCCCCUUCACUGUCCUUAUAGAGGAGGUGUCCCUCACUGUCCUUAUAGAGGAGGUGUCCCCCAUUGUCCUUAUAGAGGUGCCCCUCACUGUUCUUACAAAGGUGUCCCCCCACUGUCCUUAUAGAGGUGCCCCCCACUAUCCUUAUAGAGGAGGUGUCCCCCACUGUCCUUAUAGAGGUGUCUCCACUGUCCUUAUAGAGGAGGUGCCCCACUGUCCUCACAAGAAGAUCAUUGCAAUUAUUCCCAUGGUCUGCAAACACAACUCCAUUCUAGACAAGGAGACCCAGGGUCUGUCUUCACACAAGCUAUGAAAUCCC